GAAAUGUGAAAUUCGAGAAGAAGCUGCUAACUUCUAACUUUAGCGGUUAAAUCCCGUUAACAUUUCU
rnacentral:tRNA from 1 species